rnacentral:rRNA from 1 species
GAUGAACGCUGGCGGCGUGCCUAAUACAUGCAAGUCGAGCGAACAGAUGAGGAGCUUGCUCCUCUGACGUUAGCGGCGGACGGGUGAGUAACACGUGGAUAACCUACCUAUAAGACUGGGAUAACUUCGGGAAACCGGAGCUAAUACCGGAUAAUAUAUUGAACCGCAUGGUUCAAUAGUGAAAGACGGUUUUGCUGUCACUUAUAGAUGGAUCCGCGCCGCAUUAGCUAGUUGGUAAGGUAACGGCUUACCAAGGCAACGAUGCGUAGCCGACCUGAUAGGGUGAUCGGCCACACUGGAACUGAGACACGGUCCAGACUCCUACGGGAGGCAGCAGUAGGGAAUCUUCCGCAAUGGGCGAAAGCCUGACGGAGCAACGCCGCGUGAGUGAUGAAGGUCUUCGGAUCGUAAAACUCUGUUAUUAGGGAAGAACAAAUGUGUAAGUAACUAUGCACGUCUUGACGGUACCUAAUCAGAAAGCCACGGCUAACUACGUG